CACUAGUGAUUGAGUUUGAUCCUGGCUCAGAGUGAGCGCUGGCGGCGUGCCUAAUACAUGCAAGUCGAACGAUGAAGCUUCUAGCUUGCUAGAAGUGGAUUAGUGGCGCACGGGUGAGUAAUGCAUAGGUUAUGUGCCCUUUAGUCUGGGAUAGCCACUGGAAACGGUGAUUAAUACUGGAUACUCCCUACGGGGGAAAGGGGCUUUCAAUAAAGAAUUUCUCUUUUUAGAGUUUUGUGUUGUUGGCACAAAAUUCUAGUAUUUGGAAUGAGAAAUUGAUGUUGUGAAGCAAUUUGUGCGGAGACUAGACUUAGUGUCUGUCGCACAAGCAAAUUGCGAACUCAUCGAUUUAUCGUCCAAAGACGAAUUUUUUAUUGAAAGCCUUCGCUAAAGGAUCAGCCUAUGUCCUAUCAGCUUGUUGGUGAGGUAAUGGCUCACCAAGGCUAUGACGGGUAUCCGGCCUGAGAGGGUGAUCGGACACACUGGAACUGAGACACGGUCCAGACUCCUACGGGAGGCAGCAGUAGGGAAUAUUGCUCAAUGGGGGAAACCCUGAAGCAGCAACGCCGCGUGGAGGAUGAAGGUUUUAGGAUUGUAAACUCCUUUUGUAAGAGAAGAUUAUGACGGUAUCUUACGAAUAAGCA
rnacentral:rRNA from 1 species